rnacentral:rRNA from 1 species
UACGAAGGGGGCUAGCGUUGCUCGGAAUUACUGGGCGUAAAGGGCGCGUAGGCGGAUGUUUAAGUCGGGGGUGAAAUCCUGGAGCUCAACUCCGGAACUGCCAUUGAAACUGUAAGACUUGAGGAUGAGAGAGGUGAGUGGAAUUCCCAGUGUAGAGGUGAAAUUCGUAGAUAUUGGGAAGAACACCGGUGGCGAAGGCGGCUCACUGGCUCAUAUCUGACGCUCAGGCGCGACAGCGUGGGGAUCAAACAGG